GUGCCAGCCGCCGCGGUAAUACGAAGGGGGCUAGCGUUGUUCGGAAUUACUGGGCGUAAAGGGCGUGUAGGCGGCCCGUUAAGACAGGUGUGAAAUUCCUGGGCUCAACCCAGGACGUGCGCCUGUGACUGGCGGGCUUGAGUCCGGGAGAGGAUGGUGGAACUCCCAGUGUAGAGGUGAAAUUCGUAGAUAUUGGGAAGAACACCCGUGGCGAAGGCGGCCAUCUGGACCGGUACUGACGCUAAGGCGCGACAGCGUGGGGAGCAAACAGGAUUAGAUACCCCCGUAGUCC
rnacentral:rRNA from 1 species